rnacentral:rRNA from 1 species
UACAGAGGUCUCAAGCGUUGUUCGGAUUCAUUGGGCGUAAAGGGUGCGUAGGUGGCGCUGUAAGUCGGGUGUGAAAUUUCGGAGCUUAACUCCGAAACUGCAUUCGAUACUGGCGUGCUUUGAGGACUGGAGAGGAGACUGGAAUUCAUGGUGUAGCAGUGAAAAUGCGUAGAGAUCAUGAGGAAGACCAGUGGCGAAAGGCGGGGUCUCUGGGACAGUUCCUGACGUGAGGCACGAAGGCCCAGGGGGGAGCAAAAACGGGG